UAAGCAUAUCAAUAAGCGGAGGAAAAGAAACUAACAAGGAUUCCCCUAGUAACUGCGAGUGAAGCGGGAAAAGCUCAAAUUUAAAAUCUGGCGGUCUUUGAUCGUCCGAGUUGUAGUCUGGAGAAGUGCUUUCCGCGCUGGACCGUGUACAAGUCUCUUGGAACAGAGCGUCAUAGAGGGUGAGAAUCCCGUCUUUGACACGGACUACCAGUGCUUUGUGAUGCGCUCUCAAAGAGUCGAGUUGUUUGGGAAUGCAGCUCAAAAUGGGUGGUGAAUUCCAUCUAAAGCUAAAUAUAGGCGAGAGACCGAUAGCGAACAAGUACCGUGAGGGAAAGAUGAAAAGCACUUUGGAAAGAGAGUUAAACAGUACGUGAAAUUGCUGAAAGGGAAACGCUUGAAGUCAGUCGCGUCGUCCGGAAAUCAGCCUUGCUUUUGCUUGGUGUACUUUCCGGUUGACGGGCCAGCAUCGAUUUUGACUGCCGGAAAAAGAUUGGGGGAAUGUGGCACCUUCGGGUGUGUUAUAGCCUCCAGUCACAUACGGUGGUUGGGAUCGAGGAAUGCAGCACACCUUUAUGGUCGGGGUUCGCCCACGUUUGUGCUUAGGAUGCUGGCGUAAUGGCUUUAAACGACCCGUCUUGAAACACGGACCAAGGAGUCUAACAUGCCCGCGAGUGUUUGGGUGGAAAACCCGAGCGCGUAAUGAAAGUGAAAGUUGAGACCCCUGUCGCGGGGGGCAUCGACGCCCGGACCAGACCUUUUGUGACGGAUCCGCGGUGGAGCGUGUAUGUUGGGACCCGAAAGAUGGUGAACUAUGCCUGAAUAGGGUGAAGCCAGAGGAAACUCUGGUGGAGGCUCGUAGCGAUUCUGACGUGCAAAUCGAUCGUCAAAUUUGGGUAUAGGGGCGAAAGACUAAUCGAACCAUCUAGUAGCUGGUUCCUGCCG
rnacentral:rRNA from 1 species